UUUCAAGACUGAAAUGGGUUAA
rnacentral:siRNA from 1 species